GUUGAAAUACCGGUUCCCUUCCGAUGACUGAAGUUAAGCAACUUCGAGCCUGGUCAAUACUUAGAUGGGUGGCCGCUUGGGAAAACCAGGUGCUGUAA